UCAGAUAUGUGGUAUUGAGGAGUAUGACUGGGUCGGAUUAUCUCAUUUCAAGAUGGGAUGUGUGGAUAUUUCUUGCGGGGUGCUUGAUAUGGAGGAUUCCCGCCGCUCUGUCCCUGUCUGCAAGUCAUGCUGUGCCGGAGACUUCUGUAACCACAACUGCACGAGACAUUCGCUCGGGGUCAUCAUCGGCUGAUGCAUGUCUGCUGUAUUUCCACAACUGGAAUAAAAAGUGAAUGUUUUGCACACAUUAUAUG